GCCACACCUGGUCACACCUGGUGUCAAUCAGCCUGCCUUGCCAUCCAGUCUGUGCUGGAGUGUUGUCGCUAAGACUUGUCCAUGUGAUUGUCUACUACUUGUCGUUGGAGCUACUACUUGUCACUCUCAUUGUUUGCGGCUGGCCAGCUUCCUGCCUGUGAUGGCGCUGGGCGCGUCUCUGCUUAUCUUCUGCAGCGUCUAGUUUGAUUCUUGUAAAGCUGUGUACAAGAGUGCACAUCUCCUGGAAUCCAGGGCAUGAGAGGAAAUGUCAGAGAAAGGUGUGACUUGAUAGACUAAACCAAUUUCUGCAAUUUCCAAGUGUCUUUCAAGAACAUAACUUUCAUCCUGGGAUGUCAGAACUUUUAUCUUCAAACAAAGCUUAUCGUCUUCUCUCUUCCCAUCUCCCCUGCAUUGACAGUGGAAUGAAUUUCCAUAUAAUCUGACUUUUUUUCCUUUUUGUCAGCAUAUAUAAACAAAGGCCUCACAAAUAUAUGCGGCCGGCCUGCUUCCGAGGCGAAGACUUUUUUUGAUAAAGUCGCCGCUUCCUUUCUUCAGGAGCAAGCUUGUUGUUAAGCUCUUUGAGAUGUCUAUCAGACACAAAAAAAAAAAAAAAAUCCGGGGGAAAUUACGCUGAGCGCAGCAGCCGUGCGGCGGAGGGUGAUUACGCAUUCAAAUGGAUGCUUUUUUUAUAUCAAUGGAGGGCUUUGAAGACCUUUUAAUGAGCAGAUAGUGGAGUUAAAUCGUUGUGCAAGUGCCGUCUUGGAAAGAGUAGACAAGGAAUAGUUUUUAUCCUGAGCAGGUAACGACCUAUUAAUUCAUCAAUUAGAUGAAACUACAAACAAUUGGGAGACCGGGCUUUCUGCUCCGCCGCUCCCAGUCUGUGGAACGCUCUCCCUGACCACCUGAGGGCACCACAGACUGUGGAUGCUUUUAAAAAAGGCUUGAAAACCCUUCUUUUUAAAAAAAAAAGCCUUCUUUUUUUUAAGAUAUAUGCAUACUAGUUUUAGCCAUUAGUGUUGUU